rnacentral:tRNA from 1 species
AAAGACCUAUAGGACUUUCCCCUACAUCAU